AGGGAGUCCGGAGACGUCGGCGGGGGC
rnacentral:snRNA from 1 species